UGGAAGAUGCUUAUCAAUAACUAUAUACAGUUCUUAUUCCAUUCACACAUUUUUCUUGCCUCCUGAUCAUGGUAUUGUAAAGGGGACUAAAGAGACAGGUUCUAGGAAAAAAAGUAAUAGAGCUAUAGGAAAUAAAGUAACUCAUUUAGGUAUGACUAUGGACAAGGCAAAGGUUUCAGAGAGAAAUUGGGGAAUAAAGCAAUUUUUCUCAAUCUAAUUACUUCAGAAUCAUCAGUAUGAGAAAACAUUGAUACCUACUACUACAUACUGAUCCACUUGCUUCUCUUCAUGGAAGAGUACCAUUAGUCCUCUGUCCACAUGGAACGAACAUAAUGGCCAUCUAACAUCAAAUAAUGUCUUCUUGAAACUGAAACAUAGAAAGGCAAGUUUGAGGUAGAAACAGAAUCACCCAUCUUAUCACAAAAAAAUUAAGAAACAAAGAAAACGUCCAACAAGAGAAACUUGCAACCCAUCCUAAAAAUCCUAGAAUCUGAAUGACAUCAGAUUCAGCACAAGGCAAAGUAUGUAUCUUAAUCUUAUUGAACCAAAGAGAGUAAAACAAUAAAAUUGGGAAUAUUAUAUACAUAAAAAAUAUAAUUGUCGAAGACCACCGGUGCCAUUCUCAUCAGCAUCGACCAAUUUUGCGAAAGUAAAAAACAUCAAACAUGGGAACCGUACCGAUACACGAAGAACAUCAGACACAUGACUACCAUACAUUAUAUAAAAAAUUAAGUUAUUUUAAUUACUGAGAAACCAUGCAUCUAUUGCCAACAAAAUUGGGGCUUCUCAUGUACAUCAGACCAACAAGUGCAGCUGCAAUUUUAGAAGUAUUUUGGUUUGACUAAAGCAAACGCUAGUCCUCGCACAAGACCCAUUCCAGCCUCAUGCUUCAACCUAACACACCUUGUAUUCCAGCCUCAUGCUUCAACCUAACACACCUUGUACGUAAUACAUCAAGGCCCCAUCACAAAAUAGAAAUGAAUAUAUACGCUAGUAAGACCAGAAAUUAACAAAAUACAGGGAGCUUAAUCAUAUUGUCUUACAUGCAUCAGGAUGUAAGAUGCGGUGACCUUGGCGCCACAACCAUGGAGACAGCCAGUCUGGACAUGAUGGUGGCAGGGGUUCAGCAGCGAGAAAAGGAGGAGAGUCUGAAAAGUAAGCACAAUUACUGAUCAUUUUUACAAUUGCUGAUUUAGAUUCCGAUUCAUACUCUAAAAUAGGAGGGCUAAAAUUCUGUAUUCAACCGCUAUAAAUAAACUACACAAGAUGAUAGUGAGACUGUGCGUAGAGAGCUAAAUGUGCAAGAUCGACAUCUUUGCUAGUAAAAGACUUAGCAUUUUCUUCUUGCAGAAAGUACAUCUCUAUUUUUGGACAAAAGAAUGCAACACAUACAAAGAAUGGAAAAUCGCCAUCGAACAAAAGCCAUGUUCCACCAUUCAAGUAUCUGAACAAACAAGCAUGGGAUUGGUAGCAGUAGUGAAUAGUAUGCAUAGAUGUGUAGGCAAGUAACAAACAUUAGUGAAAGGGAAAUAGAUUAUCCAAAAGAAGAAAGGUUUUAUAUUUUUUCAACGUACCCAGCCAUAAAAUCAUAUGCUUCUUGAUUAACAAAAUGAAAACACAAUUAAGUAGGCAUAGGAGGUGCACAAUCAUGUAC
rnacentral:lncRNA from 1 species